rnacentral:rRNA from 1 species
GACGAACGCUGGCGGCGUGCUUAACACAUGCAAGUCGAACGGAAAGGCCCUGCUUGCAGGGUGCUCGAGUGGCGAACGGGUGAGUAACACGUGGGUGAUCUGCCCCUUACUUUGGGAUAAGCCUGGGAAACUGGGUCUAAUACUGGAUAGGACCAUGCUGUAGGUGGUGUGGUGGAAAGAUUUUUUCGGUAAGGGAUGAGCUCGCGGCCUAUCAGCUUGUUGGUGGGGUAAUGGCCUACCAAGGCGUCGACGGGUAGCCGGCCUGAGAGGGUGGACGGCCACAUUGGGACUGAGAUACGGCCCAGACUCCUACGGGAGGCAGCAGGGGAGAAUAGUGCACAAUGGGCGCAAGCCUGAUGCAGCGACGCCGCGUGGGGGAUGACGGCCUUCGGGUUGUAAACGCCUUUCAGCCAUGACGAAGCCUCUUUUGGGGUGACGGUAGUGGUAGAAGAAGCACCGGCUAACUACGUG